GUCAUGUAAAUAGGCUAUAUCUGUAAAAGUGGUUAUUUUGAUAUAACGGGUCAGGGGUCGUUUGUAAUAACCGAGGCGUCAUUUUUCAGAAAUAAUAUCUGAGCCUUCUUCGAGACUCUUCGAUGCUCUCCCUUCUCUCUACUUUCUCUCUCUAAGUUUCUUCGAUAUUGUGCAUGUUUUCAUGGUAUCAGAGCCUUGCAUAGUG
rnacentral:lncRNA from 1 species